rnacentral:lncRNA from 1 species
CCUGAUUUUAGGAGCACCCCAGCUAGUUGGGCCUGGACAAGAUGAUCAACCUCAAAUGUGUUCUAGAGAAAAUAUUGGGCAUAAAGGUAUGGAUUUGUGCUUCAUGUUAUGGUUCCUUCCAACGAGGACAAUACCGUGUACGAAUUCAUAGUUUAUCAUUGUGUUGUCUGUUAUUGUGACCCCCUUCUGCAUUUUGGUGAAAGAGAUUGUUUAUGGAUGCAGUUAGAGAUUGCACUUCUUAUUUUGUUUUGCUUUCCUCCAGAAGGAAAUUUGUUAUGCAAUAAUGUUGAUCAGUUGUGCCAAAAGUCAUCUAGUUUUGACUCCUAAAAUAGAUAUUUAGUAUUUUGAUGUGCUCCACUGCCUCUUCGCCUCUCCGUUGCAUAUUGCCUGUGAUGAUUAAACACGGAAAUGUUAAGUAUAUUUGGGCGAUGCACUUGUCUGUCAAGUAUGAAAUUAAGCUGGUAAGAAAAAUCUUACUUCCUGUGUUAAUAGUCCAAGCUCUCAGUAAGCUGUAUGAAUCUCCAAAUUAAGACGAAGAUACAUAGUUCUUUGAAUCAUCUUGUGCUAAAGUUUUAUCUGGUGAAUGUCAAAUAGAUUUUAUCACUUUAUCAAUACUAAGGGUAGAGGAAUAAGACAUUCAAAGUUCAAAUAUUGAUGCAAAAGUUGUAUUCUAUUGAAAUAUUUGAUGAAAUAAUUCCCUUUUUAUGAAAUUCAUUUUGGUUAUUUUGGGGUUUGAAUCAUGAAGUGGAAACAAAAAGGUUGUUGCAGCAGACAAAGCAUUUGAGGGACCAAGCUGUUAAUGCCAGAUUUUUCUUAGAUCAUCAGGGAUCGGCUCCCCGGUUCCAUUUCAUGGAAAUGAAACCAAUGUUCAAAUAAGGUUGAGACCAGCUGCCAGAAUUGACAACUUAAUAUGGAUAUUGGAUGAAUUACAAUACGCCUUGGGCCCGACAAGAAGAAGGAAGACGCUUCUCCAUUUUGCAACGUUGUAAAGGUAACACAAAGGUUCAUUGCAUUCUCAUCGUUUUGGUCCUUAUCAUGAUGAGUUUCUUCCUCAUAUACAACAACAACAACAAUAACAACAACUAAGCCUUUAGUCCCAAACAAGUUGGGGUAGGCUACAGCUGAAACCCAUAAGAUCUCGAUACCAGCUCAUGGCUCUGGCACGUGGAUAGCUAACUUCCACGCACCCCUGUCCAUGUCUAGUUCUUUGCUGAUAUUUCAGUCCUUCAGAUCUCUCUUUACGGACUCCUGCCAUGUCAAGUUUGGUCUACCCUGAUCUCUCUUGACAUUAUCAGCACGCUUUAACCGUCCGCUAUGCAGCGCUGUAUAUGUCCAAACCAUCUCAGACGAUGUUGGACAAGCUUCUUCCUCAUAUACAUCAUUGUUAAAUGCAAUGAAGCGAUGAACAAAAGAGAUUCAAAUUUGAUACUCUGAUUAUGUUGUAGACAAAACAAUUUUAUCGUUUCUUGAACUAGAUUAGCCGAUUAGUUUCAAAAGACUGCAUUGGUUCACUCAAUGUUGGUACACUGCAUGUUGAAAUUUUGUGCUGUUAUUUGAAAAAUGGAUGCGCUGAUGUUGUGGUGCAUUCAUUUUGUGAUCAGAGGACGUACAAAGACUUUCACCAUAUCACUUAGCAUCUCUGCUUUGGGGUCAACUUCUGAUAUAGAGGAACAAUGUUCUUUGAUGAUUGAAGUUUCCUUCUACCUGUCUAUUUUCAAUUUGUCAAAGCAUAGUCAUGUGUAUCUAGUUGGAUAAAAUUGGGCUCUAUGGAAUGUCAUUUGGUGCAUGCUAUUGUGAUUUACCAAAUGUGAUGAUUUCCUUAGGUUUUUAGCUCAUUGUUAGUGUUCAUUUUAUUUAAUUUAUUUUUCUAUGGAAAAUGCAACUAUCCUGAGGUGUUGGUUUCUCAUUUUGUUGAGAGCCAACAAUUAGUGGUAGUGGGAAGUAAGUGAUAAUACUUAGUUACCAACGACAAUAAUUUGUUUCUGGUGCUCUUUUUUAUAUCUGGUCCAUAAGUGUGUCACUAAUGUUAUCCCCUCUUUGGAAUUUUUAGGGUCUAAGGCCUCUCCCAACGCUCCAGGCUGUAUCGGUGCUUAGCCUUCCAGGUAAGCAAAAAUCUGACGUGGCGUCUUAAUUAAAGAGGAGAGAGAAGGAACCGGUAACCCCACGAAGAAACGGCACCAAGCGCUCAUACCUAGGUAGAAACACAGUUAAUUGGAUCCCGUAUGCAGCGCCGAGCCGUUCCAUCUCUUCUCCUUUUUCCCCUUCUUCUCAGCGACCUCCAUCUCAUCAUCUCCCUCGCCCUGCGCCGCCGCUCCCACCCAGCGCAACAGCAACUCCGUCCUCGCCUCGCGCCGCCGCAGCCAGCGGAACGAGUACUCAGUCGUCGCCCUACGCCGCCGCCCCAGGGGAACGGUUACUCAGUCGUCGCCCUGCGCCGCCACCCCAGUGCAGCAGCCGCCAUCCCUUCUGGUUGUGGAAACCCAGCCCCGGCCGACUCUCUGGCCUGCACGGACCAGCGGCGGGAGAUAGCUGCUCAAUGAUAAAUAGCCAUUUUCCCCAAAAUCGAGCUGCUAGUUUGUUUCAACAUAUGUGUUCUGUAUUCAACUUCAGCUCGUGCUUGCCUCCCGUCCAUGCUUAGAUGAGAUUUUUGUCUGCAAUUUUUGUUUCUCUGCAUCUUGCUAACUGAUAGACUGAAUCAUAGGUAGAUUGAAUAGUAUGCAAUCUGAACCAUAGGUAAACUGAUGAUAGUCUGAACUAUGAAUAGUGGAGACUGAUAUAAAUAUUAUGUGAUCUGAACCAUAUGCCCUAGUACAAGAUUCUUGCUAAACUACAGACCAUGAUUUGUUUUGCACAUCGACCAUCUAACUAGGUUACAGAAAGUACUACUAGUUGAUUCUAGUUUAGGCAACUGAAGCAGUUUUGAAAAGUUCCAUGAUUUUAUUUUACUCAAGCACUCAUGCAGAGUAUCGGGGUCCAAACAAAAUGUCACCACCACUAUUGUUUUUCUGUUUGGGCUCAGUUCAAAUAUAUUAUUGGCACUUUAUGUAUGGACUCGGUUCAAAUAUAUUUCUAUGUGGUCUGUUAAAGCGAUUUUAGUGGCUACGAAAAUGCAACAUAAAGGCCACAAAGUUUACAUACUACUAAGAUCCCACGACUAAUUAAACUAGUCGAAUGCCCGUGCGUUGCCACAGAAUACGAAAUAAAAUGUAGAGAUUAUGAUUAUAUAUUUUUUAAUUCAAAAUUGUGUGCAGAACAUGAUUUUCAUUCAUGUCCACUCGCUGCUUUGCUCCGAGUCAGUCUUUGUGUUUCAUUAGGCACCCUUUCCUUGCAUGCAACGGAAGUGAUAUAUUUCUCCCUUCCCUCUUGCCCCACCACCAUUCUGUUCAUCCACCCUUACUCUAGCAUUGUUGGUGCUAGUCAUGGACUCAUAGUUGUUGUUCCUAAUGGCUACACAUAUUCUUGCACCACUAUAUGCUUCUUGCUACAUCUUGGACGCAUACAUCGCUUGCAUCAUCUUCUGACCGAAAACACCAUGCAAUUAUAGUGCACAACUAUCAAACCCAGGAAGAGAAGGCUUAAUGGCAAAGGGUGUAAAAUUGGGCUGGGUUUUUGGGAUGUCUUGACGAACAAAUCUGACAGCAGCCAAAGCCACCAUUACAGAACAAUUCAUCUCCUCAAUUUCACCCUUCAUGUCUACUCCUCGACUCUAUUUUCACUCGCUUUGUUACAACACGUGAUUCUCCAUUAUGACCUGGCAACUAACAAGAGACAUUAAGUGGAACACAUUAACAUGAAUGUCAACUCUGCCAAUAAAUAUUUAGUGAUACUGGGGCAAUGAUCAAAUUCACCUCCAGCUCCAAACCAAUCAAGGCAUAGGGCAAAAUUUAACAAGGAUACUAAAUAUUACAAGCUACGACAGGGGAUCGCUAGUUUCAUCUCAGUCCCAAUAGCCUCCAGCACCUAGUGGGAAUAGGCCGAGCCACCAUCUUCUUAUCUCCGGUGGCUACAGAAUAGCAAAAGGAUAGAGCGCUAUUGAUUAUACAUGGCUGUUUCAGCGAACUGCGACAUGAAAAAUGAUCUUAUUCACUCACAUGCUUCCUCCUCUGCCAACUACGACCAUAUCGUACCCGUGAAAUCACUUACUGUAGUGGAACUCCUUUUCUGUGACCACUUUGCAAGAGGACAAAUAUGUAUUCUUCCUCCUGUUUUGUACUCCACCAUCUUGUGUCACCAUCUUCUUCAGAUCCGGUGAACCUUAUAGUGAUUCUCAUAAUCAUCUGCUGAUGGACACCCCAGUGAUACUAUGGCUAAAGAUGUGUGGAUGUCGUAAUAGACAUGUCACAGCCCCAGAUCAGCCCUUGCUUGAUUUUUCUUGCAUCCAUGCAUCAUGUUUAAAUUCAAAUGAAAUUUGAAUUGGGGAAUUUUCAAAGCCUCGGAAACCUUUUAAAAAUGGUCAACAUUAAAAUCUUCUCAAAGAAGCCUAAGAAAAUGUUCCUGUUACUCUGUGAAAAUUUUGGUAAGAGGUAAAAUUCAAACCAAUAUUUUUGGAAUCACAGAAAUAUUUAUUUUGGGCCUUUGACUUAAAUCAAUAACCUAUUUGAGUUGAAUUUAUUUCUGUUAUAUAAGAAAUAAAGUUCAAAUAUUUUUGUAAGUUGCUUGUGACCUUGGACUAGUUUCUGAGCUCACAUAACAAUUUACAGAAAGUUCAAAAAUGAUUUGAUGUUUUAAAAAUCAAAUCAAAACCAAUUGCAGAAAAUAAAAAACAUUAAUAAAUAGAAAACCAGAGAGAGAGAGAAGUUACCUGCGCAGCCACCUGGCGGCCCAAGUGGCCGGCCCAGCCCACUGGCCUGGCACUGUUGGCCAGCCCACUAGGAGCCCCACCGUCUUCAACCUCUGCCAGUAGGCAGAGGCGUGUCGACGCGCGCGCGCCCGAGCUCCACCUCCUGCUUCUUCCCCUGCCCUCGAUCGAGCGCCUGGAGGCGCCACGCAGCCCCCCUGGUCCCUCUCGCUCACUCGUUGCUCUCUCUCCCCUCCUCUGGUUCUCUCCCCCUUGCUGUUCCCCACCUCACCGAACCGCGCCGCCGCCACCGACGAGCUCCACCACGGCCGCAACCACUCCCUCGUUCCCUCUCCACGUCCCCGAGCUCCACCACGACCCCGUGGAGCAACACACCCGACGCACGCGACCAGAAAAGGCCCCAGUCGACCGGAGCGUCGUCGUCUUCACCUCCGGUGCCCGGAGAUCGACUCCGUCGAUUUGCCUCGUCCAGAGCGUCCCCGAGGCCGCUGACCUGCCCUGCCGCAUCCCCGUGAGCUCCCCUCCAUUUCUCCUCCAUCCUCGUGCUCGUUUUCGCACCGCAACACCGCCCGCGCUCACGCCCGAACUCCGGCCGCCGUCGAGCCCGGCCUCCUGGCGCCCAGCUGCGUGCACCCCUGGAUGCGGGCGAGCGAGGGCUUCCUCGUGGUGCCCUCAGCGCGCCCAGCCGCUGCCCUGGCGCCACCCCUGGCGAGCCGCCGCCGCACUGCAAGGUCGCCGGCCCUUAAUCCGGCGACGCUGACGUGGCUAAGGCAUUAGCCGCUAACAGCCCCACUAACUAACCCCCUGGCUCGCUGACAUGCGGGCCCCACUGCCUAACUAAACAGCUAACAAAAAUAUUUUAAGUUUAAUAUAAACACAGUGGCCCCACGCGUUGGCGUUGACCUCGCUGACGUGGCCGUUGACCGGACCCACCUGUCUGUGUCACUAACUGACACUGGGUCACUGACCAGUGGGUCCCACUGGUCAGGUCUGACCUGGACCCGGUCUGUUGACCUGCUGAGGUCAGCAUGACGUAGUGCUGACAUAAUUAAUAAUUUUCUGGAUUUAUUUUUUAUAUAGGAAAUUCCAGAAAAUGUAGCAAACUUCUAAAAAUCAUAGAAAAUAAUCUAUAACUCAAAUUGAAAAGAUUUAUAUAUGAAAAAUGAUCAGAAAAAUCCAAUCUAUCCAUCUGUACUGGUUCCAUGCAUGUCUAAACAACUUAACCUUGCUGUUUAGUUCAAAACAUGAUAAGGCACUAUUUAAAUUCAUAAUUUGAGUUUGGGAUUGAACCUUUGGUUCAAAAUGACCCAAACCCAUCUGUUUGUAGUUGCAUUAGCCAAAACACAUUCAUAUUGCCAUGUCUUAGCAUGCAUCAUAAUUGUUGCAUUGCAUUGAUUGUGUUCUUCCUUGUUUGCCGGUGGUUGUUCCCUCUCGAUAGACGUGGUUCCGACGAUGAGUUCGAUGACACUGAUGAAGAGCUAUAUGAUCUUCGGAAGUGCCAGGCAAGCAAACCCCCUUGUUCAUUCCGAUAUAAUCCCACUCUCUCGCUCCUGCUCUUUUUUACUGCAUUAGAACAACAACGAUUCAUCUGUUACUUGCUGCGGUAGUUGAACCCCUUAUCCUCUGCAUGACCUGUCAUUGCCACAGUAAAUAGAUGAAACCCACUAGCAUGAGUAGGAGUUGUUUGAGCCCUGAUGUGCCUACUCAUUCAUGCUUGUUUGUCAUGCCUACUAUUGCUUAGAGUUGAGUCGGGUCUGAUUCAUCGAGGAUGAAUUGGAAUGGUGAUGAACAUGUCCUACGGUGUGUGAGCUAAGUGUGUGAACACGAUUUGGUAAAGGUAGCGGUGAGAGGCCAUGUAGGAGUACAUGGUGGGUUGUCUCAUUGAAGCCGUCCUCAGGAACUGAGUUCUGUGUUUGUGAUCCAUGAUACAGUUACUACCACGCAUUGGGCCCGAAACCAAUGGACCCUCUCGGCUUCUUAAUCACCCUUAUCCUCUGUCCAGGAGUUGCAAGUAGUUUCUGGUGUUUGUAGUAUGCUGGAGGCCGUGGGCAGCGCUGACCCGAGGGGUGGGUUGUGAUGCGGUAGGCACGUGGCCGGGCAUGCCGGGCGCCCGUUUGGUGUCGCGGAACCCUGUACACAUCGUUCGGGGCCGUAUGUGGAAACCUCGGCCGGACUCCCUGCGGAUGGAACCUGAAUAGGCGAUAAACCUGGACUAGAGACUUGAGUGUUUAGGUAGGCUGUGGCCGACACCCUCGCUGGGCUUCCGCUUGAAGGUUGCCGAGUACAUGCUGCGUAAACGGCGGUAAGUGGUGAGAGCGUGUGUGACGAAGUACACCCCUGCAGGGUUAAUAUGAUCUAUUCGAAUAGCCGUGUCCGCGGUAAAGGACUUCUGGGUUGCCUAUAACAGUUCAUAGACAAGUGAAAGUGGAUACUCUAAAAUGCGCAAGAUAAGCAUGAGUGCUAUGGAUGGCGUUCUCGUAGGGAGACGGGAGCGGAUCCAUAGUGGAGUAUUGAUAUGGUGAAUAUGUGGACUCGUGUGCGCCACCUCAAAAGAGUUAUUUGCAGUCGUAGCUAGGAUAGCCACCGAGUCAAAGCUGGCUUGCUGCAGUUAAACUCCACCACCCCCUUUGUUGAUACCGAUGCAUAUGUAGCUAGUUCUGAUGUAAGUCUUGCUGGGUACAUUUGUACUCACAUUUGCUUAAUUUAUGUUUUUGCAGAAAGACUUCAGUCUCGCUAGUAGUUCCGCGUGGAUUUCGACGUUUAGCUUGUUACCUCAGCUACGAUCUUGUGCCCUCGGUAGGAUCUAGUAGAUAGUCAGGCUGCUCAGCCUUUUUCAUUUAUAGUUGUCUGUACUCAGACAUGUUAAGCUUCCGCAUGUGUUUGACUUGUAUGCUCUGAAUGCUGGGUCGAGAGAUCCAUGUUUGUAAUAUCUGGCUCUUCGGAGCCUAAUGAAUAAAUACUCUCAGUCGUAGAGUCUUGUUGUGAUGCCAUGUUGUAUUUGCACAUAUCGAGCAUAUUGUG